UUAAGCGACUAAGCGUACACGGUGGAUGCCCUGGCAGUCAGAGGCGAUGAAGGACGUGCUAAUCUGCGAUAAGCGUCGGUGAGGUGAUAUGAACCGUUAUAACCGGCGAUUUCCGAAUGGGGAAACCCAGUGUGUUUCGAUACACUAUCAUUAACUGAAUCCAUAGGUUAAUGAGGCGAACCGGGGGAACUGAAACAUCUAAGUACCCCGAGGAAAAGAAAUCAACCGAGAUUCCCCCAGUAGCGGCGAGCGAACGGGGAGGAGCCCAGAGCCUGAAUCAGUGUGUGUGUUAGUGGAAGCGUCUGGAAAGGCGCGCGAUACAGGGUGACAGCCCCGUACACAAAAAUGCACAUAUUGUGAGCUCGAUGAGUAGGGCGGGACACGUGGUAUCCUGUCUGAAUAUGGGGGGACCAUCCUCCAAGGCUAAAUACUCCUGACUGACCGAUAGUGAACCAGUACCGUGAGGGAAAGGCGAAAAGAACCCCGGCGAGGGGAGUGAAAAAGAACCUGAAACCGUGUACGUACAAGCAGUGGGAGCCUCUUAAUGGGGUGACUGCGUACCUUUUGUAUAAUGGGUCAGCGACUUAUAUUCUGUAGCAAGGUUAACCGAAUAGGGGAGCCGAAGGGAAACCGAGUCUUAACUGGGCGUUAAGUUGCAGGGUAUAGACCCGAAACCCGGUGAUCUAGCCAUGGGCAGGUUGAAGGUUGGGUAACACUAACUGGAGGACCGAACCGACUAAUGUUGAAAAAUUAGCGGAUGACUUGUGGCUGGGGGUGAAAGGCCAAUCAAACCGGGAGAUAGCUGGUUCUCCCCGAAAGCUAUUUAGGUAGCGCCUCGUGAAUUCAUCUCCGGGGGUAGAGCACUGUUUCGGCAAGGGGGUCAUCCCGACUUACCAACCCGAUGCAAACUGCGAAUACCGGAGAAUGUUAUCACGGGAGACACACGGCGGGUGCUAACGUCCGUCGUGAAGAGGGAAACAACCCAGACCGCCAGCUAAGGUCCCAAAGUCAUGGUUAAGUGGGAAACGAUGUGGGAAGGCCCAGACAGCCAGGAUGUUGGCUUAGAAGCAGCCAUCAUUUAAAGAAAGCGUAAUAGCUCACUGGUCGAGUCGGCCUGCGCGGAAGAUGUAACGGGGCUAAACCAUGCACCGAAGCUGCGGCAGCGACGCUUAUGCGUUGUUGGGUAGGGGAGCGUUCUGUAAGCCUGUGAAGGUGGCCUGUGAGGGUUGCUGGAGGUAUCAGAAGUGCGAAUGCUGACAUAAGUAACGAUAAAGCGGGUGAAAAGCCCGCUCGCCGGAAGACCAAGGGUUCCUGUCCAACGUUAAUCGGGGCAGGGUGAGUCGACCCCUAAGGCGAGGCCGAAAGGCGUAGUCGAUGGGAAACAGGUUAAUAUUCCUGUACUUGGUGUUACUGCGAAGGGGGGACGGAGAAGGCUAUGUUGGCCGGGCGACGGUUGUCCCGGUUUAAGCGUGUAGGCUGGUUUUCCAGGCAAAUCCGGAAAACCAAGGCUGAGGCGUGAUGACGAGGCACUACGGUGCUGAAGCGACAAAUGCCCUGCUUCCAGGAAAAGCCUCUAAGCAUCAGGUAACAUCAAAUCGUACCCCAAACCGACACAGGUGGUCAGGUAGAGAAUACCAAGGCGCUUGAGAGAACUCGGGUGAAGGAACUAGGCAAAAUGGUGCCGUAACUUCGGGAGAAGGCACGCUGAUAUGUAGGUGAAGCGACUUGCUCGUGGAGCUGAAAUCAGUCGAAGAUACCAGCUGGCUGCAACUGUUUAUUAAAAACACAGCACUGUGCAAACACGAAAGUGGACGUAUACGGUGUGACGCCUGCCCGGUGCCGGAAGGUUAAUUGAUGGGGUUAGCGGUAACGCGAAGCUCUUGAUCGAAGCCCCGGUAAACGGCGGCCGUAACUAUAACGGUCCUAAGGUAGCGAAAUUCCUUGUCGGGUAAGUUCCGACCUGCACGAAUGGCGUAAUGAUGGCCAGGCUGUCUCCACCCGAGACUCAGUGAAAUUGAACUCGCUGUGAAGAUGCAGUGUACCCGCGGCAAGACGGAAAGACCCCGUGAACCUUUACUAUAGCUUGACACUGAACAUUGAGCCUUGAUGUGUAGGAUAGGUGGGAGGCUUUGAAGUGUGGACGCCAGUCUGCAUGGAGCCGACCUUGAAAUACCACCCUUUAAUGUUUGAUGUUCUAACGUUGGCCCGUAAUCCGGGUUGCGGACAGUGUCUGGUGGGUAGUUUGACUGGGGCGGUCUCCUCCUAAAGAGUAACGGAGGAGCACGAAGGUUGGCUAAUCCUGGUCGGACAUCAGGAGGUUAGUGCAAUGGCAUAAGCCAGCUUGACUGCGAGCGUGACGGCGCGAGCAGGUGCGAAAGCAGGUCAUAGUGAUCCGGUGGUUCUGAAUGGAAGGGCCAUCGCUCAACGGAUAAAAGGUACUCCGGGGAUAACAGGCUGAUACCGCCCAAGAGUUCAUAUCGACGGCGGUGUUUGGCACCUCGAUGUCGGCUCAUCACAUCCUGGGGCUGAAGUAGGUCCCAAGGGUAUGGCUGUUCGCCAUUUAAAGUGGUACGCGAGCUGGGUUUAGAACGUCGUGAGACAGUUCGGUCCCUAUCUGCCGUGGGCGCUGGAGAACUGAGGGGGGCUGCUCCUAGUACGAGAGGACCGGAGUGGACGCAUCACUGGUGUUCGGGUUGUCAUGCCAAUGGCACUGCCCGGUAGCUAAAUGCGGAAGAGAUAAGUGCUGAAAGCAUCUAAGCACGAAACUUGCCCCGAGAUGAGUUCUCCCUGAGACUUAGAGUCUCCUGAAGGAACGUUGAAGACGACGACGUUGAUAGGCCGGGUGUGUAAGCGCAGCGAUGCGUUGAGCUAACCGGUACUAAUGAACCGUGAGGCUUAACCUU
rnacentral:rRNA from 2 species